GAUGAACGCUAGCGGCAGGCCUAAUACAUGCAAGUCGAACGGCAGCACGGGUAGCAAUAUCUGGUGGCGAGUGGCGCACGGGUGCGUAACACGUAUGUAACCUUCCUUCAACUGGGGAAUAGCUCACCGAAAGGUGAAUUAAUACCCCAUAAUAUUCGAGAGUGGCAUCACUUUCCAAUUAAAGUUCAGACGGUUGAAGAUGGGCAUGCGGAACAUUAGUCNGUUGGUGAGGUAACGG
rnacentral:rRNA from 1 species